rnacentral:lncRNA from 1 species
AAUUGAAUUUUUUUUUUUUUUUGGCUUUUAAAGGAGUUGGUUUAAUUCAAAGUGGUACAGAAUUCAGAGUACAAUGAAGAUGGAACAGUAGGCUCUAGUGGGAUUCCAGACUGAGUUCACUUUAAAUUCACAGCUGAGGUAGGAAUUGCUGAACACUAGAGACAGUGAGUCAUUGCAUUAUUUACUUUAUUCAUUUUUUUUUACAAAAGUUUAUUACAAUGUUCAACAGGCUUCAGGAUAACAUUUCAUUCUAGCUAUUACAUGGCAAAGAUGUUAUGACAGGGAAUCCAGAUGUUUAACAGGUUACAGGAUAACACUUCAUUCUAGCUGUAGGUGGCAAAGAUGCUAUGGCAGGGAAUCCAGAUGUUAAAAUAGGAAUGGAAGAGGAGGGUCACCAUCACCCCAGAUGUGAGGAACAGCUUGCUUUUUGCCAGAUUUCUUAAUUCCACCUGUGGCCAGGGGGCCCUUCCCGGCGGCCUUGGCUUUUAGCUCCUCUAGUUUCUUCUGUUUCUCCUUUUGUUUCUGCUUGAAAGCCUUAUCUUCCUCGUCCAUCUCCUUGGCCCGCUUCUUGGGCUGUUUCAGGGGCUUCUUUUUGCCACCUUCCCGGCUCGACAUGGCGCCUCCAGCCCCUUCACCAGCCCCUGAUCCUAUCCUUCCUCUUUACCCUACUCCCCUUUCGCUUCUCUGAGAAGGGGGAUGAACCCCUGGGGUAGCAUCCCCACCCUGCCACAACAAGUUACUGCAGAACUUGGCGCAUCCUCUUUCACCAGACAAGGUGACCUCAGUUAGGGGAAUGAGAUCCACAGGCAGGCAACAGAUUUGGGAUUUAAACUCAGGACCUUCGGAAGAGCAGUCAGUGCUGUUAACCACUGAGCCAUCUCACCAGCCCAAGAGAAUAUAUUUUAUACUGUAGAAAUUAGUUUGCGAUGUGGAAUGUAAACAUAAAACCUCUUAAAAUGGGAAAGGAAAGAACCUGAUAUGGUAGUGUACACCUUUAAUCCUAGUGCUUGAGGACCUCUGCUCUAGCUGUGGGUCUCUGCUGGAUGGAGCCUCUCAGAGGACAGUUAUGCUAGAUUCCUGUCUGCAAUCAUAAUAGAGUAUCAUUGAUACUGUCAGGGAUUGGUUCAUGUCGAUGGGAUGGGCUUUAAGUCAGGCUGGUCAUUGGUUGGCCUUUCCUUCAGUCUCUGCUCCAUCUUCAUCCCUGCACUUCUUGUAGGUGGGAUGAAUUUUGGGUCAAAGGUUUUGUGGGUGGGUUGGUGUCCUUAUUUUUCUACUGGGGGUCCUGUCUAGCUACAGGAAGUAGCCACUUCAGAUUCUAAAUCCCCCACUGCUAGGAGUCUCAACUACAGUCACCCCAUAGACUCCCCCAGAAGCCUCCUCUAUCUCGUGUCUCUGGCAUAUCCUAGAGGUAUGUUUGUGCCCCCACCCCUAGCUGUUGAUUUCCAUUUGUUCUCCCUGUCCUCUCUUCUCAUCUCUCCCCAAACCUGACCUGGUCCCCACCCUCACCCCAUUCCUCUCCCUAACCCCUCUUCUACCCAGGUCCCUCCCUUUAUCUGCCUCAGAUGACUGUUUUAUUUCCCCUUCUGAGUGAGAUUCAAGCAUCCUCACUUGGGCUUCCUUGUUGGGUCUGUGGAUUGUAGCGUGGGUAUCCUAUACUUUAUGACUAAUACCCACUUAUAAGUGAGUACACAUGUCAUGCAUGUCCGCUUGGGUCUGGGUUACCUCACUCAGGAUGAUACUUUCUAUUUCCAUCUGUUUGCCUGGAAAUUUCGUGGUGUCCCUGUUUUUAAUACCUGAGUAGUAUUCCAUUGUGUAAAUGAACCCAUUUUCUUUAUCCAUUCUGUAGUUGAAGGGUAUCUGGGCUGUUUCUAGUUUCUGGCUAUCAUAAAUAAAGCUGCUAUGAACAUAGUGAAGCAUUUGUAUUUGUGGCAUGGUGGGGCAUCUUUUGGGUAUAUGCUUGGAAGUUCCCAGGAGUAGUCUUGUUCCUCAAAGUGUAGCUUUUCGAUUCAUGUUAAUACUUUAGAAUAUUUAAGGAUUUAAGAAAUAAUGAUCAUUUAAAAAAUUUUCUACCGGAGUAGGAAAAAGUUAGCAAAGUUACCAAGUUUAUUUUUGUGAAUUUUAGCAUAUUUCUAGUAAUUUAAACAAGAUAUUACAUACUUUAAAAGGAACUAUAAACCAAUUUUAUGAAUAUAUGUAUAAAAAUAUUAAAUACUAACUGAAUUCUGAAUCUAAAGCAUGUUAAGUGGAUUCUCUUUUGCAACUUAGUAUGAUUUAUCAAAGAAUGUAAGGAGAGUUGAUUAUUGGAAAAUAUUAGUAAAAAUACUAAGAAAAUAAUUUGACUCCAUCAAACAAUAAAGGAAAUCAAGAUUUUAUAGAACGGUACUGGUCUGACCUUAAGAAUAUCCUUGAGUUUAGGACACAUACUAUGAAUCUGUACCUCAAAGGCCUUUGAAGUGCUGCCUCCCCUCCCCCAGCAAGUUAGAGAUACCUUUUGCUCUAACUUGUCAAAUAACAAUGAGAACAUUUAGACACUGAGUUCUUUUUUUUUUUUAACUUUUACCCUUAAAUAAUUAUAGAUUAAUAAACUGUUCUAAAAUAAUGUUGAGGAAGAUUUCCCAUGGUGACACCUUACAUUACAAGGAAAAUGAAGAAAAAUGAACUGCAUAAGAGAUUUCACUGGGAAAGAGACAGUUUGAAGAGAAACUGACUUCUUAAUUAGGCAACCAUCAAUAAAAUAUUUAAGAUAAAUGACUUAAGGUAAUGACUAUUUGUAAGAUCCAGCUAAAAGUAUGAUGUGGACUGUUGAUGUCUUAGCCAGAGACAUACUUCUGUAAAGGCCUGCCUGCGCAAACAGAUUUUGAGCCCUGGGUGUCACUAGAGUUGAGGUAGGGGUAGUAGAGCACUCUGACUUUACCAUAGGCUCAUGCAUACACUUUGCAAAUUAAAAAAAGUAAAAGUUCAAAACUGCAGUGUGAAGUUAGGUGUGGUGGUGUGACUUUAACCCUAGAAUUCUGGAGACAGGCAGGCAGGUCUCUGUGAAUUUGUUUUCAGCUUGGUCUACAUAGUUGAGUUCUAGCCUAACCACGGCUAUAUAAUGAGAUCCUGUCUCAAAAAUAAGCAAACAGUACAUAUACACACACAACUCAAUGAGUGUGAAAAUACUCUAGCUGCAGCUGAAAUAGUAACAAAUUUUAUUUACUCUAAAAAAAUUUGUGCAAGAGCUAUAGGAAGAAACAAAGGAAAAUCACAAGUAUGUGAACACUCUUCUCACAUGGUAUCUACAGCAAUACUCAUAGUUCUUCAUCCACAAUUUCAAAGUAAAAGUGGAAAACUGGGAGGUCUGACUAUAUUUCAGGAAAAUUCAUUGAGUUGCAAAAAUCUGAGUAUACCUUUCCUCCCAGCACUUGGGAAGCCAAGAUAAGUGGAUCUCUAAGUUCAAGGCCAGCCUGUUCUACAGAGAGAGUUCCAGACCAAACGAAGAUCUAUAAUAAGUCUCCAUC